rnacentral:ncRNA from 1 species
GUAAAAGCGAUGAUAGGAAGAGUACCUUGUUGAACUCGUGUUAGAGAGAAAAUGCCAUAGGCUGUAAGCAUUUUUCAGGAGUAAUAGGGGAAGACCGACCUAGAGUGUUAAGCUGAAGGAUAUGUAAGCUUGAACGUUUCCCGCGUUAAGGGACAAAGUCUAACGUUAAAAUGAGAUUUUAAACGUUAUGAAUUUGGGUGGAACCACGGGAAUCAACUCUCGUCCCAUUG